rnacentral:rRNA from 1 species
UACGUAGGUGGCAAGCGUUGUCCGGAUUUACUGGGCGUAAAGAGCGCGCAGGCGGUCGUUCAAGUCGCGUGUGAAAGCCCCCGGCUCAACUGGGGAGGGUCACGCGAUACUGAUCGACUGGAAGGCAGGAGAGGGUAGUGGAAUUCCCGGUGUAGUGGUGAAAUGCGUAGAUAUCGGGAGGAACACCAGUGGCGAAGGCGACUACCUGGCCUGUUCUUGACGCUGAGGAGCGAAAGCUAGGGGAGCAAACAGG